CAAUGCUUUUCCUUACAAAAGAUUAAUUUAAAGCUUAGUCUACAAUAGAGUCGUAAAUCAUAAUGGCUCCUGCACACCAGCGCGAUGACGCGACACGCGAUGCGCGAUAUCCAAUGAGCGUGCAGCUUUUCCGCAUGUCUAGUCUAUAUCGUCUAUAUACGAUUUCCGCAAACUCGUUUAGAACAUCAAUAUCAUCAUGUAGAUGAGCAAUACAUAUAUUGCAAUCGAGUUAUUUUAUAUUAAUAGAUCGUAUUUUUAUGUAAGUGUAUAAUUGAUUAUGAUUAUGUAAGUGUAUAGCCAUUAUCUUUUGAUAUUCGCAUUCACACUCUUUUUGUGAUAUAUCAUUAGGUUAAAAAUAAAAUAAUAUGUUAACCUCAUAACCUAACCAUACGGAUGGCUCGAUGACGGAAUAAAUAUUAUAUUCUCGAUUUUGUUUCUGCGCAUAUUUGCAUUUGUUGCAGUUGUUUAUACACACACACAAAAUGUUUAUAUUAAUAUUUGCUAAAGGACGUUAUACUGUGUGUUCAAAAAAGAAAAAAGUAAAAAAAUCUCACAUUAUCGCAGUUCAUACAAAUAAAUCUGUUUUACAAGAAAUUGCAGACAAUUUGAAUAAAGCAAUUCCAGCUAUAGAAUUAUUAAAUAUUUCAUCAGAUGUAUCGCUAACUUCUGAUACUAAUAACACAUCAAAUGAUAUAUCAAAUAUGCCAAAUUCGAAUAAGAGUGAAGAUAUUUGCGCAUCAUCGAAUGAUUCCAAUAAUAUUGAACAAUGCACUAAAAGUGACAAAAUUGGUAACAGUUUACCGCUGUUUGAUAUAACACACAGCAAUGAUAAAAAUCCUACAUUUUCGUCUAAAAUGUUCCUACUCUCUCUAGUGAUGGCAGUCCCAAUAAAGUAGUUAAUAAUAAAAUAGCUAAUGAUAACAUGAUAAAUGAUACAAAUGCCACAUUAAAUAUUAAUACAUCGGAUAUGAAUACAUUGGAUAUGAAUACAAAAAAUAUUUGUACAUUAGUUGAUAAAAACUGUGAUAUAUAAUGCAACGUGUGUGAUAAAAGUGAAUAAUACAAUGCUUUGUGAUGAUGCAAGUGCGAAUAAUGAAAUUAAAGAUCGUGCAUAUUUGCAUAACGAUAAUCCUAUUACCAAUAAAAAUUCUAAUGAAUUAACUAAUAAUAUCAAUAUAAUGAAUGGUAAGAUUUCUGCAUAUAUCUAAUUGUAUAUGUAAGACAUUUUAAAUACAUUCAAUGUAUAUUUA